GCCCACAGUUGGGGACCUUCCUAGUCUGGCUCCUGGGGCUUGAGAAGGAGUCACUGUGCAGCAUCAAAUGGGGAGAUUUUCUUUCCAGUGUCAGUAUUUGACAGUGGCUUUAGAUUGGCCAGGUAGCA
rnacentral:snoRNA from 1 species